rnacentral:rRNA from 1 species
UACUCGAGUGGCGAACGGGUGAGUAACACGUGGGUGAUCUGCCCUGCACUUCGGGAUAAGCCUGGGAAACUGGGUCUAAUACCGGAUAGGACGAUGGUUUGGAUGCCAUUGUGGAAAGUUUUUCGGUGUGGGAUGAGCUCGCGGCCUAUCAGCUUGUUGGUGGGGUAAUGGCCUACCAAGGCGUCGACGGGUAGCCGGCCUGAGAGGGUGUACGGCCACAUUGGGACUGGGAUACGGCCCAG